GACGCACCGUGCGAACGUUGUUCGGAAUCACUUGGCUUAAAGGGCGCGUAGGCGGGCUGUCAAUUCUGGGGUGAAAUGCUGCGGCUCAACCGUAGAACUGCCUUAGAUACUGACGGCCUCGAGGAAGGUAGGGGCAUGCGGAACUGUAGGUGGAGCGGUGAAAUGCGUUGAUAUCUACAGGAACUCCGGUGGCGAAAGCGGCGUGCUGGACCUUUUCUGACGCUGAGGCGCGAAAGCUAGGGGAGCAAACGGG
rnacentral:rRNA from 1 species